UUGUGGUCGCCGCUCCUGCUGGUGAUGUGGAGAAAUCAGGCGAGCUGGAGCGCUUUUUGUCUUUGUUUAUCGUCCCCGCGACGGUGUAAAUGGGGGUAAAAGAAUCGCUCCGUGUCCUCGCUGCUCCGGGCUGCUGCCCCAGGCUGGGGGUGAGGGUGCAGGUGCUGCGGGGCAGAUUUUUCCCGUGGUACCCUCUCCUGCCGCCCCUACGUCAGCUCGCGGGCUAUUAAGGGCCCCAAGCCUCCACCCCCAUCCCCACACGGGCCACACUGAGCCGGGCUGAGCGCGGGGACACUGCAGCAGAACCAGCCGCACGAGGAACCGGACAGAAGAAGUGGAAAUGUAUCUUACACGUAUAAAGAGGAUUAUCCCACACACCGCUGUGAAGGCGUGCAGAGGCUGAAAUGGAUCAAGCUCUUAUUGUUCAGCUUCUCAGCCAUUCACCUCCUGUCCAAAGCCUCACAUUCCACCGGGUUUUGUGCAGCGUGAAGCAUGUGCAAAGCUAAAGAACAUUCUUGGACGGCUCCACACUUUGGCCACAGAGAACAUACAGUUCCUCAUGUGUCGGCCUUCAGGAGCGCGGUGGAUUACAGCCAUUCAUGCCGGAGUCAAUUAAAGCCAGUUAAAGUCACCACAGGCUUUGUUUACACAUUAUGGGAACUCUGUGAAGUGGGAGGAGAGAGAAAAAAGCAUCUAAUGAAUACCUUCAAAGGAUUAUUUAAGGCUUGUGUGUCUGGGUAGGUUUAAAGCUUGUCCUCAAUCUCAGCUUGAUGGAGUUUUAUGUUGGAAAUGUGGUAAAAUUGAGGUCAAUAAAAGGAUAAAGCACU